CAGAGGUUCCCGUGUCUCACCUCUCCUCCAGGGCCCUGAGCUCUGCCAGGCAGGGGCUCCUCUCUGGGGGUUCCUGCCUGAGCCCCGGGGCCCAGCAUUUCUCCCUGGGUGAAACAUGCUAAUAAGGGUGUGUGUGCACGCGCCAUCUGAAUGCAAAAUGCAGCAGGGGCAAUUGUAGGGGGAGAAGGAUAAUAGAUGGGCCAAGGAGGGAAACUGAGUCAGGCCUGAGUCUUGGGACUAGGCCCACGGCAGGCUGGUCAGGCAGCACGCCUGCAAUCCCAGCACUUUGGGAGGCUAAGGAGGGAGGAUCACGAGGUCAGGAGUUCGAGACCAGCCUAACCAACAUAGUGAAACCUCGUCUCUACUAAAAAUACAAAAAUUAGCCGGGUGUGGUGGUGUGUGCCUGUAAUCCCAGCUACUGGGGAAGUUUUUUUUGAGACGGAGCCUCACUCUGUCACCCAGGCUGGAGUGCAGUAGCACAAUCUCGGCUCACUGCAACCUGGGCCUCCUGGGUUCAAGCGAUUCUCCUGCCUCAACCUCCUGAGUAGCUGGGAUUACAGGCAUGCACCACGAUGCCCGAAUAAUUUUUUGU
rnacentral:lncRNA from 1 species